GGAAAGGGUUGCGUUGUGGUGGUGGUACGGUGGGUGGUGCUUACGCAUCUGCUCACCAGAGAGUGAAGACAAAGCUUAAUGGUGGUGCGGCUGAUGAUGAUGAUGAAAUUUGGAUUUUGAUUUAGGUUUAAUUUGUUUUCGACUUAGUGCUUUUUUUUGCUUAUGUUUAGUGUUUCUUUCAAUUUUUGUUUAGUUCUGUAAAAUUAUUUGAAUAUAUAACAAUUUAAGGUGUUUAUGUGUAAGUUACGAAGGAAUAAUAUAAUAACAUAUAUACACAAGAUUUCUGAUAUUUCAAGAACCUUGAGUUUGAUUGAAAUGUAAAUAUCA
rnacentral:lncRNA from 1 species